UACGUAGGGGGCAAGCGUUGUCCGGAAUCAUUGGGCGUAAAGAGCGUGUAGGCGGCCCGGUAAGUCCGCCGUGAAAGUCCAGGGCUCAACCCUGGAAAGCCGGUGGAUACUGUCGGGCUAGAGUCCGGAAGGGGCGAGUGGAAUUCCUGGUGUAGCGGUGAAAUGCGCAGAUAUCAGGAGGAACACCGAUGGCGAAGGCAGCUCGCUGGGACGGUACUGACGCUGAGACGCGAAAGCGUGGGGAGCAAACAGG
rnacentral:rRNA from 1 species